rnacentral:rRNA from 1 species
UACGUAAGGGGCGAGCGUUGUCCGGAAUCACUGGGCGUAAAGGGCGCGUAGGCGGCCUUGUAAGUCAGGGGUGAAAGCUGUGGGCUUAACCCACAAAUUGCCUUUGAAACUGCAAGGCUUGAGUUCUGCAGGGGAAAGUGGAAUUCACGGUGUAGCGGUGAAAUGCGUAGAUAUCGUGGAGAACACCUAUGGCGAAGGCAGCUUUCUGGGCAGAUACUGACGCUGAGGCGCGAAAGCUAGGGGAG